rnacentral:rRNA from 1 species
UGGGGAAUUUUGGACAAUGGGGGAAACCCUGAUCCAGCCAUCCCGCGUGUGCGAUGAAGGCCUUCGGGUUGUAAAGCACUUUUGGCAGGAAAGAAACGUCGCGGGUUAAUACCCCGCGAAACUGACGGUACCUGCAGAAUAAGCACCGGCUAACUACGUGCCAGCAGCCGCGGUAAUACGUAGGGUGCAAGCGUUAAUCGGAAUUACUGGGCGUAAAGCGUGCGCAGGCGGUUCGGAAAGAAAGAUGUGAAAUCCCAGAGCUUAACUUUGGAACUGCAUUUUUAACUACCGGGCUGGAGUGUGUCAGAGGGAGGUGGAAUUCCGCGUGUAGCAGUGAAAUGCGUAGAUAUGCGGAGGAACACCGAUGGCGAAGGCAGCCUCCUGGGAUAACACUGACGCUCAUGCACGAAAGCGUGGGGAGCAAACAGGAUUAGAUACCCUGGUAGUCCACGCCCUAAACGAUGUCAACUAGCUGUUGGGGCCUUCGGGCCUUGGUAGCGCAGCUAACGCGUGAAGUUGACCGCCUGGGGAGUACGGUCGCAAGAUUAAAA